rnacentral:rRNA from 1 species
GACAGAGGGUGCAAACGUUGUUCGGAAUUACUGGGCGUAAAGCGCGUGUAGGCAGCUCAGCAAGUCGGAUGUGAAAGCCCUGGGCUUAACCUAGGAAGUGCAUUCGAAACUUCUGAGCUUGAGUUCUGGAGAGGAAGGCGGAAUUCUCGGUGUAGAGGUGAAAUUCGUAGAUAUCGAGAGGAACACCGGUGGCGAAGGCGGCCUUCUGGACAGUGACUGACGCUGAGACGCGAAAGCGUGGGGAGCAAACAGG